ACCUCCCACCACAAAUGGACCAAGCAGCGGAGUAAGGAGCAAGGGGAAUUCAAUAUGGACUGUCGGGAGAAAUGGACGUGGGAGCAGAUUCUGGCCGGAGAGGGCCCAUGGAGGAAGUCUGGUGAACUUCAGUAACUACAAUGCUGUCAUGAGUUUCUUCAAUGUGAACCAGAACCACUGGAAGUUCAUUUAUCUGCAUGAACCAUCAGGCCAAGUGUUUUUGGUUGACCCUGCUGGACAGAAAGAGAAGCAGGAAUCGGGAAUACGCUGCAUUCAAAUUCAGGUCUUAUUUAUUCCGUUGUACUGGAUCUAAUACAUAUUAGCAUUUUACAUACAUUCAUAAGUGUAAUAAUUAU
rnacentral:lncRNA from 1 species